AGAGCUUGCUCUUAUGAAGUUAGCGGCGGACGGGUGAGUAACACGUGGGUAACCUGCCCAUAAGACUGGGAUAACUCCGGGAAACCGGGGCUAAUACCGGAUAACAUUUUGAACCGCAUGGUUCGAAAUUGAAAGGCGGCUUCGGCUGUCACUUAUGGAUGGACCCGCGUCGCAUUAGCUAGUUGGUGAGGUAACGGCUCACCAAGGCAACGAUGCGUAGCCGACCUGAGAGGGUGAUCGGCCACACUGGGACUGAGACACGGCCCAGACUCCUACGGGAGGCAGCAGUAGGGAAUCUUCCGCAAUGGACGAAAGUCUGACGGAGCAACGCCGCGUGAGUGAUGAAGGCUUUCGGGUCGUAAAACUCUGUUGUUAGGGAAGAACAAGUGCUAGUUGAAUAAGCUGGCACCUUGACGGUACCUAACCAGAAAGCCACGGCUAACUACGUGCCAGCAGCCGCGGUAAUACGUAGGUGGCAAGCGUUAUCCGGAAUUAUUGGGCGUAAAGCGCGCGCAGGUGGUUUCUUAAGUCUGAUGUGAAAGCCCACGGCUCAACCGUGGAGGGUCAUUGGAAACUGGGAGACUUGAGUGCAGAAGAGGAAAGUGGAAUUCCAUGUGUAGCGGUGAAAUGCGUAGAGAUAUGGAGGAACACCA
rnacentral:rRNA from 1 species